rnacentral:rRNA from 1 species
AAACAUGUCUUUUUGAAUUUAAUUUAAAGUCUAACCUGCCCACUGAAGUAUUUUAAAUGGCCGCAGUAUUUUGACUGUGCAAAGGUAGCAUAAUCAUUAGUCUUUUAAUUGAAGGCUGGAAUGAAUGGUUGGACGAAGUAUAAGCUGUUUCAUAUAAAUUUAUUUUAGAAUUUUAUAUUUUAGUUAAAAAGCUAAAAUUUUAUUAAAAGACGAGAAGACCCUAUAAAUCUUUAUACUUUAUAUUAUUUAAGUAUUUUAGAAUUUUUUAAUUUUUAUAGUAUAAAUUAUUUUGUUGGGGUGAUAUUAAAAUUUAAUGAACUUUUAAUUUUUUUUAAAUCAUUAAUUUAUGAGUUAUUGAUCCAUUAAUAUUGAUUAUUAGAUUAAGUUACUUUAGGGAUAACAGCGUAAUUUUUUUUGAGAGUUCAUAUCGACAAAAAAGUUUGCGACCUCGAUGUUGGAUUAAGAUAUAGAUUUGGGUGUAGCUGUUCAAACAUUAAGUCUGUUCGACUUUUAAAUUCUUACAUGAUC